GGCCAAUCCCUCAGCUGACUGCGGGCCAUGACAAUGUGGGUCCCCACGAGCCAUCCCGUCCCUGCCACGCCGGUGAGGGAUAUCCCGGCAACUAAAGCGGGCAGCCCCGCACAGACCUACAUGCUGAGCAACACACCUGUAACGCCUCUCCCUCGUGGCGCUCCCAAGAUGGCGGCCAUACUCGAGAUACUGAGCCUACCUACAAGCCAAGGGCCCCAUCCUGAUACCACAGCCGACUACAGGC